rnacentral:lncRNA from 1 species
GUGGAGGUAGUAUGGGUAGUAGUAGUAGAUCUCAGUUUGUUCUUAUAAAUAUAUCAGGAGCGAAACACGUAACAGACAAACAGGUGGUGGGAAAUAUAACAUGCCUGAAGGAGAUGGAUCCUACCGGUCUUUAUUAAUUGGUAAGAAUAAAACAAAACAAUAUGAAUCACGGGGACAGAUACAGAUGAGUCAGGUGGUCGUGAUUCAUUUGGCAGGGACAGAUACAGAUGAAGAGUCAGGUGGUCGUGAUUCAUUUGGCAGGGACAGAUACAGAUGAAGAGUAGGUAGUCGUGAUUCAUUUGGCAGGGACAGAUG